rnacentral:lncRNA from 1 species
AAGGGCAUAGGCUCCGUUUCUCGUUGGGAUGCCACGAUGAUUACAAAGAGGGCCGAGCGACUUAAGCCAGCUAACAACCUACAAGAUGUAACAAUGAUGACAUAACAAACUAAACAACAACAACGACUUAAAUAGUCAACCAGAGCCUAGGCGGCGCCGAAAGGUCGUACAUUAUCCAUAUCUCAAAUGAUCGUCCACGAGUAAAGUUAACGACUUAACGACUAACAAGAAAACCUAACAUGCCCCCCUGCUUAGCUCAAGCAUCGGCCUCGAUGCGACCAAAGUACAAACUAUGCUAAGUCGUGCGCCGCUCCGAUUCCCUGAACGAAAUCGGUACCAGGCUAACGAGGGGAAGGCAAAAGGGAACCGGAGUCAAGGCAAAACCUUCCCCGCACUGGAUACCGGCCUAAAUAAGGCGCACGACACCUAUAUCUACCGGUCUAAGGAACCGGUCUACGACCAAACGAACGUGUCCAGAAACAUCCACAAAGAGUACGCAAAUCAUAAGCCUAAGGCACAGAAAAGCAAACUCGGUGGAUGGCAAAAUAACGCAAGAAAACACGAAAGUACACAACAUGCAACACGCAAUACCCCGAAAAAAACAGAAGUCAAGACACGACACGCGCAAAACUGAGGCGAAAGAACCCAAAACUGAAAACACACAGGACACGAGUCACACACAACACAUCCUAUGCGGAGCGCUAGGUUGUCAUGAAGUGCACUAUCCUCGGGGCCCGUUCCGGAAACUUCGCUCUGAACCAGGCAUAGCGGUCUGACAGCUUAAACGCGGUCCAGGCUGGGGUCGCCAGGAAGGCACGAAGUGCUGGAAGGCUGCGUACGUCAUCGUACGGUUCCCAGGACGCGUCACGGCCACUGGCGGUAGACCACUGAACUAGGAACAUGACGGACGGCCGACCACGACGGUUAUAACCUAGGCGAACUGCAGUAACGAUAGUGUCGGCGUGGUCGUACGGUGACUCCAGUGUGAUGGGCACGGCGGGCGGAGCUGGAGGACGGUUGGGGAAGAGCGUAGGAUCGUUGUCUGUCCACGGAAGCAGGCGGGAGACGUGAAAAACGGGAUGGAUGCGACCGAGGGUAGGUGGAAGUUGGAGGCGGUAAGCGACGGGGGAAAUGACUGCACUAAUGGUAAAAGGGCCGAUGUAGCGAGGUCGGAGUUUUGCGGAGGGGUAGUCGGGUAAGGUGAGGUUAGUGGUGGAGAGGCGAACACGGUCGCCAACUUGGAAGGUGAGGUUGCGGCGGUGUUGGUUGGCGGCGGCAGCGUAUCGAACUUUAGCUGCUUCGAGUUCGGCGGUGAUGGUAGAAUGAAUGUCACGGAUGUGGGCAUGGAGAUCAGCGGCGGCGGUGUGUGCGGGUUUGGAAGGGGGGGUGUUAAUCGUGGCGGGGGUGGUGGGAUGGAAACCGUAGUUGGCGUAAAAUGGGGUGGUGCCGGUGCUGGCGUGGGGAGUGUUGUUGUAGGCAGCUUCGGCGAUGGGCAGGUAGGCAGCCCAGGAAUCUUGCAUGGGCUGAACGUAAGCACGAAGGAUUUGCUCGAUGGUGCGAUGGGUACGUUCAGUUUGACCAUCGGUUUGCGGAUGGUAAGCGGAGGAAAGGUUGAGGGAAGUGCCUAAAUGUUCCCAAAAGGUGCGCCAGAUGUCGGCUGUGAAGCGGGGGUCGCGGUCGGAGACGAUGGUGGUGGGGAGGCCAUGAAGACGAUAGAUGUUGGAGAUGGCAAGGAGGGCGAUAUCGCGGGCUGUAGCUGAUUUGUUGGUGGGUACGAAGUGGGCUUGUUUGGAGAACAUGUCGACGAACGUGACAAUGGCGGUGUAGGUGCGACCAUCCAGUCCUUUGGAGGGCGGUAGGUCGGUGAUGAGGUCCAAAGACACAUGAGUCCAUGGUCGUGAAGGCGUAGGCAUGGGAUGGAGGAGGCCAGGCGGAGGCUGAGUAGAUGGUUUUGAGCGCUGGCAGAUGGCGCAGGAUUGUACGUAGGCACGGACUGUGCGGCUCAUAUGUGGCCACCAGUAGCGGGUAGUGAUGGAGGCGAGGGUGCGACGAAAACCGGGAUGACCUGAGUAGGCGGCAUCAUGGAAUUCGUGCAGUAGGCGACGGCGAAGGGCGGGGUCAGCAGGUACAGCGAUGCGGUUGCCAAAGUAGACGAGACCGUCAGGGGAGCGUUGGAGGUAUGGCUUGAUAGUGGCGGGGUUGGAGUACAUGGGGUCGGUGGUGUAACCAGAAAGGAUGGCGGCGGUGAGACUGGGGUCGGGAAGGACAUGGGAGGCGAGAGCAAAGCAGGUGUGGCGGAGCGCGUUGUUGGCGGAGAUGUCGACAGGUGGUUCUGUGGAAGGCCAAAGUGGAACGGAAGAUGGAAGAGACUGUAUGUGAGGCGAUGGUGAGAGGAACGGUGUGGAAGAGACGCUGGAGGGUGGAUCGGGGAAAGGCGGCGGUUGGACAGGGAAGCGAGAGAGAGCGUCGGCCAGGUUUUGUGGCCCAGGGCGGUAGGUGAUGGAGAUGUAGCCUUGAAACGGUGCGAGCAGUUGAGCCCAACGAGCUUGGCGUCGCGAAAGGUCCUUCUGCGUGAAGAAACGCUGUAGAGUGUCGUGGUCGGUGCAUAGCGUGAAGUGGCAACCUUCAAGAUAGCAACGAAACUUACGUACAGCGUGUACGACAGCAAGCAGUUCCAACUCGUGGAUUGGAUAAUUUGCUUCGUGUCGAUUGAGCUUGCGGGACUCGAACGCGACGGGAUGAAGGGCGUUGUCUCGUUCCUGGAGGAGUACUGCUCCGAGGCCAAGGGUAGAGGCGUCCGUAUAGAGGGUGAAGGUGGCUGAGGGACCCGUUUGAGGAAUGAUGAGAGCGGGGGCGGAGGUGAGUGCGUUACGAAGAGCAUGGAAGGCAGCGACGGCGUCGGGCGGUAAGGUCUUGGGAAAGGGCUGGGUGGUUUUGGUAAGCGCGAUGAGAGGGUGGGCGAUGCGGGCGUAGUCCUUGAUGAAACGGCGGUAGAAUCCUGUAAAACCCAGGAAGGCGCGGACGUCGGUGAUGGUGGAGGGAAUGGGGAAAUGGUUGAGGGCUGCAAGUUUGUCGGGGUCGGUUGUGAUGCCGUCGCGGGAAAUGAUGAAGCCACAGAAUUUUGUUGACGGCUGGGCGAAGGAACAUUUUGUGCGGCGGACGUGGAGGUGGUGGUUCUGCAAGGUGCGGAGGACAGCUUCCACGUCGCGGCAAUGGGCUUCGAAGGUGCGUGAGUAGAUGAGGACGUCGUCGAGGUACACGACCGCACACUUGUUGCGGAAGGGGCGGAGGACGUCGUUCAUCAGGGACAUGAACGUAGCAGGGGCGCCGGUGAGUCCGAAAGGAAGGACGAGCCAUUCAUACAGCCCAUACUUACACCGAAAAGCUGUUUUAUGCACGUCCGGUUCGUGCACCCGAACUUGGUGGUAACCCGACCAGAGAUCCAGCUUGGUGAAGUAGGCUGCGCCGUACAGCUGGUCUAGGAGCUCGUCCACACGAGGCAGCGGGUACGCGUUCUUGACGGUGAGCUGGUUGAUCGCACGAAAGUCGACACAGAGGCGUAGUCCGUUGCCGCCGGGUUUGCGGGCGAACAGGAUUGGAGCGCCAAACGGCGACGUAGACGGGCGAAUCCAGCCACGGUCGAGGUAGUCCUUGAGCUGUCGUUCAAGCUCUUGGAGCUCUGCCGGUGACAUACGGUACUCACGUUGCUUCGGCGGCUGGGCGUCGGGGUCGAGGGGAAUGCGGUGAUCGCAAGGGCGGGACGGUGGAAGACCAGUCGGUUCAGAGAAGACAGCGGAGUAUCGGUCGAGGAUGGACUGGAGAGGAGGCGGAGCAGGCGGUAUGGAGGCGGUGGGCUGAGGUGGGGCUUCGGGAUCGAUUUCUGGAUCAUCGAGGGGACGGAGUAUGCCGAGGUAGACUGGUGGAGGUUGAAUAAAGGGGCCACGUUUGCGAGGAUUGGAAGCGGUGGGUGGUGGUGGGCGGGCGCUGGCUUGACGAAUCGUCUAGAUCGAUACCAACUGAAAGGGCAUAGGCUCCGUUUCUCGUUGGGAUGCCACGAUGAUUACAAAGAGGGCCGAGCGACUUAAGCCAGCUAACAACCUACAAGAUGUAACAAUGAUGACAUAACAAACUAAACAACAACAACGACUUAAAUAGUCAACCAGAGCCUAGGCGGCGCCGAAAGGUCGUACAUUAUCCAUAUCUCAAAUGAUCGUCCACGAGUAAAGUUAACGACUUAACGACUAACAAGAAAACCUAACAUUAUUCCCCAGGUUUUACUUAGUAAACUUAGUAACCGAUCAGUGAUCAACAUCAGACGAUCUAAAUUAUGAUUAUUAUCCACGUGUGCUAGAAUCCCCACUGCGACCCCGCAAACAUUGCAAACUGGCUUUUCCAAGUUUUGACAAAACCACGCAAAACCAUAUCGUGGAUCAUUAAAC